GCCUUGAUCUUCACUCACUCACUCAUUCUGUCCAGGGGAAUUUUGCAGAAAUCAAAAAGGCGUUCAGACGAGUAUCUGUGCGAGUGUCAGGUCGUGUAUACCUCAGCUGCUCUGUGGGCAAGACAAGCAGAUCCCUGUUGACACUUGCUGAAGUCAAUGGAUUCAAGCUGACAGUCUAAUGUGCUGGAUUAAUGUGUGCACUGGGAUAAAAGUAUGGAGAGAUGGAUGGAUGCAUGAUGCUAGGGGUGUAUAAGUAUAAAGAUUUUGUCUCCAGUUCCCCAUCUUCCUUCAUGCGUCUUGCAUGAAUUGUAGAAUCCUUUAAAAAUUUCUUAAG
ensembl:lncRNA